rnacentral:rRNA from 1 species
AACCUGCCCAAGAGAUCGGGAUAACACCUGGAAACAGAUGCUAAUACCGGAUAACAACAGAUGAUGCCUAUCAACUGUUUAAAAGAUGGUUCUGCUAUCACUCUUGGAUGGACCUGCGGUGCAUUAGCUAGUUGGUAGGGUAACGGCCUACCAAGGCGAUGAUGCAUAGCCGAGUUGAGAGACUGAUCGGCCACAUUGGGACUGAGACACGGCCCAAACUCCUACGGAGGCAGCAGCG